rnacentral:tRNA from 1 species
UAGAAAGAGGUGUAUAGGUAGCACGAAGAGUUUUGAUUUCUUUGGAUAAGGUUCGAGUCCUUUCUUUUUAG